CGAAGGGGGCUAGCGUUGUUCGGAAUUACUGGGCGUAAAGCGAGUGUAGGUGGUUGUCCAAGUUGGAUGUGAAAGCCUUGAGCUCAACUCAAGAAAUGCAUUCAGGACUGGGCGGCUAGAGGACCGGAGAGGAUAGUGGAAUUCCCAGUGUAGUGGUGAAAUACGUAGAGAUUGGGAAGAACACCAGUGGCGAAGGCGGCUAUCUGGACGGUUUCUGACACUAAGACUCGAAAGCGUGGGGAGCAAACAGGAUUAGAUACCCUGGUAGUCCACGCCGUAAACGAUGGGUGCUAGACGUUGGCGAGCUUGCUCGUCAGUGUCGCAGCUAACGCGUUAAGCACCCCGCCUGGGGAGUACGGCCGCAAGGUUG
rnacentral:rRNA from 1 species